CAGUCGCCACGGGAAUACGAAGGGUGCAAGCGUUACUCGGAAUUACUGGGCGUAAAGGGUGCGUAGGCGGAUAGAUAAGUCAGUGGUGAAAGACGGUGGCUCAACCAUCGCAGUGCCGUUGAUACUGUUUAUCUUGAAUAUGGAUGAGGUAGGCGGAAUGUGGCAAGUAGCGGUGAAAUGCAUAGAUAUGCCACAGAACACCGAUUGCGAAGGCAGCUUACCAAGGCAAAAUUGACGCUGAGGCACGAAAGCGUGGGGAUCGAACAGGAUUAGAUACCCCCGUAGUCCCUGUCUCUUAUAC
rnacentral:rRNA from 1 species